ensembl:lncRNA
UCAUGAUGUCAGUAGGUGUAGAUCAGCUGUAGUUCCUGGUUGUUCCACCAGGUGGAGCCUCUUCCUGUUUAAUCCUGUAGAGACCAGAGGAGGCGCCACUCAAACUACAGGUCAUGUUAAAGCAGAGAGCAUUAUGGGAGUUUGGAGAAAGUCAAAAACCUGAUAUAAAUCCAGCUACUGUCCCGGUUGAAAGUUUCCUUGUGCAGCGAAGCUCUGCUCCCAGUGCUCCUGGAACACUGACACACCUCCUUAUAGCUCGCAUAUUCCUGAAACACAUCAAAGAGUCAGAAACUUCUGAGAAAAUCAAACAUCUAAUCUAAAUCUGGCUGCUAUUCCCACCAGUGUAGUGUUUUUGUGCAGCGAAGCUCUGCUCCCAGUGCUCCUGGAACACUCCCUGACAGCACUGUUAUAUAUCCAGCACCAUCUGCUAGGGGUGUGUUUGGGUGUUCUGAGGUGUAUCAAAUCAGAAACUGCACCUAUAGAAGUCUCAAAUCUGAUGACAUCUGUGGUUGUUAAUGAUGUCCAACCAGAGCUGAUGUGAGAACGUUCUUCCUACACCACCUUCUAGUCGUAGGAGCUUCAGGAGAAACGUUUAUUGAGACGUUUUCCAGUGAAGUCCGGCUGGUUUUUGCUGAAGCUCCAACAAUCACCAGGACCUGGAUGAGUUUAGCUAGCAACGGGCACCAUGACAAAGACUUCUGAGAAGGUUAAUGACCUCCAACCAUGUGCGAAUGCUCUUCCUACACCACCUUUUAGUCAUAGGAGCUUCAGGAGAAACCAGCCUGGAGCUUUCUCCUGAAGCUCCUACCAUCACCAGGACCUGGAUGAGUUUAGCUAGCAGUGGGCACCAUGACAAAGACUUCAGUUAUAAUUAAUGACCUCCAACCAGCUGCUUCUCUGCUUCCAUGUAUCUAAACUAUGUGAAUUUAAACUAAAGUCAUCCUGAUACUUCUAUUAUUUUUCCUUUUGCUCCCAUUUCAACCCAAGUCAUUGAAUAUUUACAAUCCACUACCAUUUACCCAAUAAUACACACUAAAGUACUUUAAAGUUACUGAAAUAAUCCAGUGUAUCUGCUUGACUGAAUAUCUCUGCAGCAUUAAAAUAACCUGCAUCCUGCCUCCAAGCUGUUCCUGAACGUUCUGCAGGUGGAACCUUGUAAUGCUCGGUUUCACUGACAGAUUCAGAAUAUUUAGGAUUUUACAGAUGGAAGUUUUCCUGCCAGAGCUCAGAGCCAGAGGAGGAGCUCUGGUUUGUUUCUUCUCGUGUCUUUAAACCUUUAAAGCCAUAAACUUCCAUCAGAUGAACUUUGAGCAAACCACCGGAGCGGGAUGUAGAACUAACGAAAAGCUCAGAACUCGCCUGUCAGAUAAUUUACUCCUCCUGCAGGCUGAGAGAGGAACAGCCGCAGGUUUAUUCCCUUCAUCAGGCCCUUAAAUGGUGAAUUACAAUCAGUUUUAUUAGGAUUAAAGGAAACGUGAGACGUGAAGGAACUGUUUCAGGAUGAGGCCACCUGCAGGAAACAUUACGUCAUGAGAGUAAAAUGAAACUGAUGUGUCUGCAACAGCUCUUUGAGGACCUCAUCUCCAGAAGCCUUGUUUUUCUCCACAGCGCCACCUACUGUUGUGGAUGAUUACAAAAGAGGAAAACUCACAGUUUACUUUCACAACAAAUACAAGUUUCUGUCAAACUACUGACAGUUUGAAAACAUUAUUUCACCCAAAUCGUACUUUUUAAAUUCAGUUUAACUUUGUUGCUAAGAGUUGAAUUCUGGACAAAUUAGAGCAGCUUUUUGACAAGAAUUUAACCAAAAACGAAAACGGUUUUCUACUAAAUAAUGUCAGUAAAUAUAAACCAUAAAUCAGUGACUCCAUCAGUGUUCUCCUCCUUCCAGUCAGGAUCUAGUAGAUGAACCUUCAGGUCCAUCAUGGAUCCUGUUGGUCUCCAUCAGUCUGAACAUCUGAACUUUCUCCUCCUUCUUCUUUAAAAACUCUUAAACUGGGGUGUCCCUAUAGCUCAACGCGUUAAGCGGGUGACCCAUGUACAGGGGCUGGUCUCCGACGCAGCAACCCAGGUUCGAUUCCCGCUCGCGGCCCUUUGCUGCAUGUCUUCCCCCAACUCUUCUCUCCCCUGUUUCUGUCUCUCUCUAACUGUGCCUAUGAAAAUAAAGCUGAAAAAAGGCAAAAAAAAAAAAUAACUUUAAAAAAAAAAAAAAAAAAAAAACUCAAACUUUGUCAGGUUCCUCAGGGAUCCUGAUCAACAGAACCUUUCAGGUCCAGAGUCUAGUUCUCAGCUGGAUGGAGGUCUGGACUCUGACUCCUCCAGAACUUCCACCUUGUUGUCUUCAAACCGUCUCUGAGGAUCUUUGUCUGUUUGCUUCGACUCAUCGUCUGAAUGGAAACUUGAUCUUCUCCAUGUCUCAGUUCUCUUCAGAUGCAUCAGGUUGUCCUCCAGGAUUUCAUUUGCACUCUACCAGCCUUCCAGGACCUGCUGCUGAGGAACACCAUGAUGCUGCCACCACCGUGCUUCACAUCAUGAUGCUGCCUCCACCAUGCUUCACAUCAUGAUGCUGCCACCACCGUGCUUCACAUCAUGAUGGUGCCACCACCAUGCUUCACAUCAUGAUGCUGCCACCACCGUGCUUCACAUCAUGAUGGUGCCUCCCUCACUAGUCUCUCUCUAGUAUCUCCUUCAAGAGUCAUCGGCGUCUAAAUAGAAACAGAUCUUGGUUCUUGUUCAGUCCUCUCACUCUGACUGUCCUCCCUUUAAUACCUGCUGCUCUUUACUGAUCCUCUCCAGUAGGUGGCGCUCUCAUGAAAAAGAUGUAAAUGUGGUCCUAGAAGUGCCUCUUCUGCAGAUUCAUGCUGCUCAGUGAAACACUGUUAGAGAACAAUGAUGCGUCUUUACAAACCGCCUGCAGGUGGCGCUCAACAUCACAAACAGCUGCUGUUCCAGUUUCUGCCUGCUGGAGGCGCCACCUUGCCUUUCCUCUAAAACCUCCGGUGUUCUGUUGGUUUCUGUCUGUUGCCUCUCAGGGGAACGUUUUUCAUUUUAAAAGCUGCAGCUCCACGUAUUUAUCACGCUUCAAAUAUUUAAAGCACAUUUUAACCCAAGUAUCAGAACUACGAAGAAACAAACGUUUGACAUGAGUCUGUUGGUUCUUUUAAAAAUGUUUCAGCUCCAGCUGCUCUCAGUUCAACAGACUGAAACAACCAGAAAUAAAACAGGAGACAGUGAACAGGAUGACUUCCAGAUGAUUCCUCUGAUGAUGGUUUGAGUUCAAACCUGACUGCACCUGAUUUUACUGAUUAUUACUCAUUUAUUGAUCUCAUUUACUGAUAAAUAUCGAAUCUUCAGCAGAAAGACAGUAAGCUGUAAACGUUUUCUGGAUUUGAUUCAAUCAGCUGCAGUCUGUUAAACUGUCAGAGUCUCUGGUUUAGUUUUAAUUCUGUCCAUCUGUUGAGAAGAUUCACAGUGAGAUCGAACAGCCUGAUUGGUUGAUCAAUAAGGUGAUUGGUUCUAACAGAUACGUAAAUCCUUCUCGUUGAUCCUGUUUUCUUCUGUUCUGAAUGUUUCUGACUGUACAGAUAAUAAUCACAUGUAAAUUGAUCAUAUUUUAGAAAUUAAACAGAAGCUGAAAAUGUCUCUGACUGAUUCAUCUGAAAUGUGUGUUUAAUAUAACUAUUAAUAAAGUUUAUUGAUCAGUUUGAACUUUUAAAUUAAAGGGAAUCAACAUGACACUUGAAUCAACUCACUGUUGAAUGUGUAGUGACAGAGUUCAGCCACAGGAUGGAGCUGCUGGUCUGAUUCAGGAGACAGAUUUCAUCCUGAAUAUCAAAAAUAUCACUUAAAUGUUUUAAACUACAUCAGCCAUCAGUAAUUUGAUUACUUUAAGAAGCAC